rnacentral:rRNA from 1 species
ACGGCUCAGUAACACGUCGGUAACCUACCCUCGGGAGGGGGAUAACCCCGGGAAACUGGGGCUAAUCCCCCAUAGGCCUGGGGUACUGGAAGGUCCCCAGGCCGAAAAGGGCUCUCGCCCGCCCGAGGAUGGGCCGGCGGCCGAUUAGGUAGUUGGUGGGGUAACGGCCCACCAAGCCGAAGAUCGGUACGGGCUGUGAGAGCAGGAGCCCGGAGAUGGACACUGAGACACGGGUCCAGGCCCUACGGGGCGCAGCAGGCGCGAAACCUCCGCAAUGCGGGAAACCGCGACGGGGGGACCCCGAGUGCCGUGGCAUCGCCACGGCUUUUCCGGAGUGUAAAAAGCUCCGGGAAUAAGGGCUGGGCAAGGCCGGUGGCAGCCGCCGCGGUAAUACCGGCGGCCCGAGUGGUGGCCGCUAUUAUUGGGCCUAAAGCGUCCGUAGCCGGGCCCGUAAGUCCCUGGCGAAAUCCCACGGCUCAACCGUGGGGCUUGCUGGGGAUACUGCGGGCCUUGGGACCGGGAGAGGCCGGGGGUACCCCUGGGGUAGGGGUGAAAUCCUAUAAUCCCAGGGGGACCGCCAGUGGCGAAGGCGCUCGGCUGGAACGGGUCCGACGGUGAGGGACGAAGGCCAGGGGAGCAAACCGGAUUAGAUACCCGGGUAGUCCUGGCUGUAAAGGAUGCGGGCUAGGUGUCGGGG